GGUACCACUUGGAAACAGGUGCUAAUACCGGAUAAGAAAGCGGAUCGCAUGAUCAGCUUUUAAAAGGCGGCGUAAGCUGUCGCUAUGGGAUGGCCCCGCGGUGCAUUAGCUAGUUGGUAAGGUAAAGGCUUACCAAGGCGAUGAUGCAUAGCCGAGUUGAGAGACUGAUCGGCCACAUUGGGACUGAGACACGGCCCAAACUCCUACGGGAGGCAGCAGCC
rnacentral:rRNA from 1 species